rnacentral:rRNA from 1 species
UACGUAGGGGGCUAGCGUUGCUCGGAAUCACUGGGCGUAAAGCGCACGUAGGCGGGUCUUUAAGUCAGGGGUGAAAUCCUGGAGCUCAACUCCAGAACUGCCUUUGAUACUGGAAAGCUUGAGUUCGGGAGAGGUGAGUGGAACUGCGAGUGUAGAGGUGAAAUUCGUAGAUAUUCGCAAGAACACCAGUGGCGAAGGCGGCUCACUGGCCCGAUACUGACGCUGAGGUGCGAAAGCGUGGGGAGCAAACAGG